rnacentral:lncRNA from 1 species
CAGCAGCAGCAGCUCCCUUACAGCUGUGUCUGCCAUGAGCAGCACCUCAGCUGUGGACCCCUCCUUGACCAGGUGAGGCAAGGGUCAGAGAUGGAGGAUGGCAGGGGCUGGUACCAGAUGAUGCCAAGCUCUGGCUGCUGACAUCUCAACCUUCCCCCACCAGGCCACCUGAGGAGCUGACUUUGAGCACCAAGCUGCAGCUGGAUGGCAGCCUGACAAUGAGCAGCAGCGGCAGCCUGCAGGCAAGCCCACGCGGCCUCCUGCCUGGCCUGCUCCCAGCCCCAGCCGACAAACUGACUCCCAAGGGGCCAGGCCAGGUGCCUACUGCCGCCUCUGCACUGUCCCUGGAGCUGCAGGAAGUGGAGCCCCUGGGGCUACCACAAGCCUCCCCUAGCCGCACCCGUUCCCCUGAUGUCAUCUCCUCAGCUUCCACUGCCCUGUCCCAGGACAUCCCUGAGAUUGCAUCUGAGGCCCUGUCCCGUGGUUUUGGCUCCUCUGCACCAGAGGGCCUCGAGCCAGACAGUAUGGCUUCAGCCGCCUCAGCACUGCACCUACUGUCCCCACGGCCCCGGCCAGGGCCUGAGCUCGGCCCCCAGCUUGGCCUUGAUGGAGGCCCUGGGGAUGGAGAUCGGCAUAGUACACCCUCCCUCCUGGAGGUAGCCUUGACCCAGGAGGCCUCGACUCCUGACAGUCAGGUUUGGCCCACAGCACCUGACAUUACUCGUGAGACCUGCAGCACCCUGGCAGAAAGCCCCAGGAAUGGCCUUCAGGAAAAGCACAAGAGCCUGGCCUUCCACCGACCACCAUAUCACCUGCUGCAGCAACGUGACAGUCAGGAUGCCAGUGCUGAGCAAAGUGACCAUGAUGAUGAGGUGGCCAGCCUUGCCUCUGCUUCAGGAGGCUUUGGCACCAAAGUUCCUGCUCCACGGCUGCCUGCCAAGGACUGGAAGACCAAGGGAUCCCCUCGAACCUCACCCAAGCUCAAAAGGAAAAGCAAGAAGGAUGAUGGGGAUGCAGCCAUGGGAUCCCGGCUCACAGAGCACCAGGUGGCAGAGCCCCCUGAGGACUGGCCAGCGCUAAUUUGGCAACAGCAGAGAGAGCUGGCAGAGCUGCGGCACAGCCAAGAAGAGCUGCUGCAGCGUCUGUGUACCCAACUCGAAGGCCUGCAGAGCACAGUCACAGGCCACGUAGAACGUGCCCUUGAGACCCGGCACGAGCAGGAGCAGCGGCGGCUGGAGCGAGCACUGGCUGAGGGGCAGCAGCGGGGAGGGCAGCUGCAAGAGCAGCUGACACAGCAGUUGUCCCAAGCACUGUCUUCAGCUGUAGCUGGGCGGCUAGAGCGCAGCAUACGGGAUGAGAUCAAGAAGACAGUCCCUCCAUGUGAGUUUUGCAUGCAGACUCCUUUUGGGUGGUUCAGGUGGG